UUCAAAUAAUGAAUACCUUGUAAGUUUACAAUAGUUUAAAUUGUUUCUGUUUUACUAAAAAAUGCUAACAAUAACAAAAUAUUCAGCACAGAUCAGCUUACAAAAAAAGGAGAAUUUGGUAGAAUAAUAUUCUGCAGGUCACACCAUUUGUACUUUACAAUUUCAAAAGAGAGUAAGACCAGGAAGAAAAAUAAACUAUUCAAAAAAACUUUCAAUAAACAACCUUUUAGUUUAACUUCGUUUGAAGGCAUUUAAACAGGCGGAGAAAAGUUUGUUGUGUUUUAAUGUAACAAAUAUGUCUGAGAUUUCAAGAGAUUCGAGUUAUGAAAAAGUUGAAGCUGUAGAGGAAACAAAUGAGUAUGAGCGGCAUCCGGAUUAUGUAGAUCUAUCAGAUUCUACUUAUGAUAGGAUACCGGAU